rnacentral:rRNA from 1 species
UACGUAGGGUGCGAGCGUUAAUCGGAAUUACUGGGCGUAAAGCGUGCGCAGGCGGUUUUGUAAGCCGGAUGUGAAAUCCCCGGGCUUAACCUGGGAAUGGCAUUCGGGACUGCAAGGCUGGAGUGCGGCAGAGGAGACUGGAAUUCCUGGUGUAGCAGUGAAAUGCGUAGAUAUCAGGAGGAACACCGAUGGCGAAGGCAGGUCUCUGGGCUGACACUGACGCUCAUGCACGAAAGCGGUGGGGAGCAAACAGG